CCAACUGCGGGAAUCUCAUGCCUGUGGCCUCCAGGAACACAGAUGCACACACAAUUAAAAAUAAUAAAAAUAAACUUUUAUGUAAGUAAAAUUUGGAGAAUCAGGAUAUUUUUAUAAGUGUUAAUACAGUCUAUAUUAAUGUAUAUUGUAGAAUUUCAUCAUCUCUUGAGGUUUUAGUCCUUCAGUUGACACUUCCGUUCGUUCUUGUUACUGCUUCUUCAAUGCAGGUACUCAAGUAACCACCCUGGCACACUAUCUCUGAAGUGUCUGGUUUAUUAACUUCCUAGCACUACCAACUAUCCCCAUGGCUUUCUUCAUUUUUUUCUCCUCUCCACUAUAAACUAAAAUCCAUUUUCUCUAAAGUGUCAAAUACUAUGCAGAGGAAAAACCACUAAACCCUGGCACUGAAGGACUGUGUGAUCAUAUCACAGCGACAAAGCACACUGUGCUCACUGUUUCUGAGGAGAACACAGUUAGAUUUGCUUCCGCUCCUGUAGGACAAUUUUAAUCCAUAAUUGAUUCAUUAAGCUACUUAGUAAUGACUUUGGGAUAUUUUUGGACUCCUCCUCCUGUUCUGGUUCAUUACUUCAGGUUUAAAUUAGCAGCAGGAAUUCCUAAAAUAAUUCUUAUGUCAAAGGCAUGCUUCCUAAAGUUUAGAUUAACUCAUCUACUUUCUCUAGGCAAAUCAAGAGAACAAGAGGGUAUACCACAACAUGUGCCAGCAGAAAUAGAAGAAGGGUGGGUUCAUCAAAGACUCAGAGCUAAUAUCUCGGUCUUCCAUUAUGCAAUGAUUCAUAAUUACAUGUGUGAAGUGGAAACUUGAAGACUAAGCUUCCGCAUUGCCUCUUGCUGAAGAUAAAAGUCCAGGACAGAGCAGCGAGCGCUUCCUGGGACUUCCUUGCUGGCUCUCCUCUCCACCACCUGUUUAUUCUGCCAAGACUCUGAUGUGGUGAAUACGAAAACUAACAUUUUCAAGGAAUUUUUCUAUCACCCAUAAAUGGAAAAGUCUUAAGGAACCAAAAUACUAACACAACUUAAGAAAGCAACUAAGAAAACCAAGGCUCAGAAGGAAAUUAUAAAAAAUACAUUCUUGGGGCUGGAGACAUGGCUCAGCAGUUAAGAACACUGACUGUUCUUCCACAGGUCUUGAGUUCAAAUCCCAGCAACGACAUGGUGGCUUACAACCAUCCAUAAUGAGAUCUGGGGUCUCUGAAGACAGCUUCAGUAUACUAACAUAUAAUAAAUAAAUAAAUCUUUUUUAAAAAUUGCA
rnacentral:lncRNA from 1 species